rnacentral:lncRNA from 1 species
CAAUCAUGUUCUGCUGUGUAUAUGGAAAUACUCUCUAGGGUUUUAAAGUUCAGAAUAAAAAUAUAUGUUUUUUUAAAAGGAAAGAAAUCCCUAGAAGGGUCUAAGCAGGCUGUGGGUGCAAGAAGUAAGAAGAGAGACAGCUCCCAGAAGCCCUGGGGAUACAGAAGAAGCAUCUCCUUUCAGCUUAGGGGAAUUUCUUUACAGAACCUUGGAUGUGUGACCCAUAUUUCUCUUGCUGGUUGCCACGAGACAUCACUUCCCCAUGUGGGGAGAUGGAGUCAUGGACACAGGCGUCCACAACAAUCCACCAGAUUAUUCGAGGAAGGGCAAAUAGAAAGGCAAUCUGUGGAGACAGCUAUACCUAGGAAUCCUGCUGCUGGCGACAGAUUCUUAUGGAAGAGGUGGCUUCUACCUAUCCAAGAACUGACUGUGGAGGAUGAAAGAAAGCCACCACUGAUAACAACAGUUUAAAGGCUCAGCCAAAGUUACCAACACAUCAAAUCCAACAUCAUGAGCAAUGUUCAACACCCACAUUGUUGUCAUUGUGCAUAGUUUUCCUAAUUCUGCUUAGUUUACUUUACAUCAGUUCAUAUAUGUGUUCCUAUACUUUUCUGUAUUUAUCACAUUGAAUGUUUCUUCAAGUGUAAUAAUAUUCCUGUACACUCACAUAACAAAUUUUUUUUUAACAAAUUCCAACUCUAUGUGAUGCGGAUGGGAUCUGAACUCCUAAAAGGAAAAGACCAUGUCUUUGGGAUCUGGACCCCAAAAAGGAAAAGCCCCUGGACUUUCCCACAUGGCCCAGGUCCCUGGCAUUUGCCUGGGGCACCUGGCCCCUUCCCAGUUAUCUUUUCACCUGCCCUUUCAUUGUGGCCCUCAUUGUCUGCACCUGGCCCCACACUAGACUGCCACUUCUUGAUUCCAUCUAGACCCCCUCUCUGUUACCUCCCAGUCACCCCAGCCUACUGUCCAAUCCCAUCCAGAUCUUCCCACAGCCUUACUUAUAAAAGGUCCACCUUGUCUGCAUUAAGGUGCCCAGAUUCUCUGAGUCUGGCCCGCUUGUCAAUACAAGUGUCAGAAAUGUUCAGAUUCCUUAAGAGUCUGGUCUGGUUGUAUUCUCAUUACAAAGGCUCAGAUUCUUAAAAUCUGACCAAUAGCACAGAUUCUUAAAAAUUUGCCCACCUCAAUCAGUGUUUUAAUAAACCUUGCCUCUGAUCGAAAGAAGGCUUGAGU